CCAAAGGCUCUUUUCAGAGCCGCCCACCGCUUCAAUGGAAUAGCUGU
rfam:Myotis davidii contig72876, whole genome shotgun sequence.